GUGGCCUUCAACCAGAAUGUGAUUAAGGCUAAUCCCUUCCAAGUGUCUGUCAAAUUCUGCCUGCUCAUUGCAGUGAGGAAAGUUUUUAAGAGCCAUAGCGGCAAACCCAUCCAUGUAAGGACUAAAAGCUCUCGAGAGCCCUAACCCCUGAGAUAAGCCAGAGCUACAAAUAUAUCGUCUAGACUUUGAAAGAAGGGAUGUGAUUCUUAAUAUAGCUCACCAACCACUAAGCCAAGCCGAGGCUUUCAUAAUUUUUCUAGAACAGGAGACGCCUGCCUGACCAUUGACUCAAAAGAGUUUCACCUCUUCUGCUACCACACAAGUGAGAAAGAAGGGACUCCCCGAAAUCAUGCCAGAUGGUGACCUGUGGCUAUUUCAGCUCAGGAUGUCAUCCUCUGAAGCAUCAGAUUUGAAUCAUUUGGUAUCACGAGAUUCUAUCAUUGUUCACUUGAAUCUGCUGACAGGCUUCCUCUGGAAAGUGCAGUUUGGCAUGGAUGAGUCAGUGGGGUUUUUUUUUGUUUUUUUUUAGGGUGUUUGUUUUUUUAAAAAAUAAAAAUUUCUUUGAGAAUUUUUCAGCCUCUCAUGGUUGCAUGAAAACCGAAACUGAGAUUUUCCCAGCGGGACCCGGGUGCUGUACUCUGAAGAGAUCCCUGUGUGGGGGGUAAGUACCAGGCUCUGGAUUAUUAGGGGUGUGCUGGGGGUACAGAUACUCUUGGUGACAGAAAGAAGAACAUGCUCAAAAAAGAAAAAAUUAGGAUGGGAAUAGGAGUGGGAUGAGAAACAGCCUUGGAGAGAUUCAGCCGAUAAAAUCCUUUUAGCUCUCCAGAGCAUCUGUGCAUAAGCCCUGGCAUUGUUAAGAAGGGGGAUGGGGAGUUCCUGUCAUGGCGCAGUGGUUAACGAAUCUGACUAGGAACCAUGAGGUCGCAGGUUCGAUCCCUGGCCUCGCUCAGUGAUCAGGGUUAAGGAUCCGGCAUUGCCGUGAGCUGUGGUGUAGUUUGCAGACGUGGCUCGGAUCCCGCGUUGCUGUAGCUCUGGUGUAGGCCAGCAGCUGCAGCUCCGAUUCGACCCCUAGCCUGGGAACCUCCAUGUGCCACGGGAGCAGCCCAAGAAAUGGCAAAAAGACAAAAAAAAAAAAAAAGAAGGGAGAUGGGCAGUUCCCUGAUGGUUCAGUGGGUUAAAGAUGCAGCAUUGUCACUACCGUGGCUCAGGUCUGACCCCUGGCCAGCAACCUCUUGCAUGCUAUGGGCAUGGCCAAAAAACAAGGGGGGUGGGGAGUUCCCAUCAUGGAUCAGUGGUUAACAAAUCUGACUAGGAACCAUGAGGUUGAGGGUUUGAUCCCUGGCCUUGCUCAGUGGGUUAAGGAUCUGGCGCUGCCAUGAGCUGUGGUGUAGGUUGCAGACGAAAGACAAAAAAAAAGGGGGGAAACAGGUGUCGUAGUCGGACAGCCAUCUUCCGAGAGCCCGAACUAUCAGCUCUUCAUCAGGAAUGAGCCCAUUGAUCUUCUGGCAAACAGCUCAAGGAAUGGAGCUUAUCUGGGAAAUGGUGGUGGUUUUUGUCUGUGAGUAACUUAAGCUUGAGGGAACUGAGCAAAUGGAAAGGAAAAGAAUGUCCCUAGGGGCCCUCAGGCACCUUUGCUCCUGCCUGCUUCCACCCUGGCCCUGAGCCCUUACUGACCUGGCCACAAAAGCUAAGCAGACACUGAAGAACUGCCUUCUACCACCCUUGAAUUAUCACCCAGAUUCUUUUUUCUUUGCUUUUUUUAGGGCUGCACCCGCAGCAUAUGGAGGUUCGCAUCCUAGGGGUCGAAUCAGAGCUGUAGCUAUUGGCCUACACCACAGCCACAGCCAUGCCAGAUCUGAGCCUCAUCUGUGACCUACACCACAGCUCACUGCAAUUCUGGAUCCUUAACCCACUGAGCCAGGCCAGGGACCAAACCUUCAUCCUCAUGGAUACCAGUCAGAUUCGUUUCUGCUGAGCCACGACAGGAACCCUCCCUCAGAUUCUUGAGUGGGCUUCCUGGCUUCUGACAGCCUGGCCUUAAACUAGAAAAGCCCCUCCCCAUGCUCACACAAAGCAGCUAUGUUAGAGAAACUGUGGUUGGACAAACUUCAGACCAGUGUUAAUGUAGUUAUUAACAUAGCUGUUCAAAUUUCCCCAUGAUCUAGUAUACCCCCAGGCAGGACAGACACUCCAUUGACUUUCUGUACCACUUUUUUUUUUUUUUUUUUUUUUUUUUUUUUGUCUUUUUGCCAUUCUUUGGGCUGCUCUCGCAGCAUAUGGAGGUUCCCAGGCUAGGAGUCCAAUCGGGGCUGUAGCCACCGGCCUACACCAGAACCACAGCAACGCAGGAUCCGAGCCACAUCUGCAACCUUCACCACAACUCACGGCAACGCUGGAUCCUUAACCCACUGAGCAAGACCAGGGAUUGAACCCACAACCUCAUAGUUCCUAGUCAGAUUCGCUAACCACUGUGCCACGAUGGGAACUCCGACUUUCUGUACCACUUAAGACAACAGCUCUGAGUUCUUACAGCAGUGAACUGGCCAUAAGAACUUGAGGUGUGCUGUCCACUGCUUUUCAAGGUCCAGGAAGACAGGACUGCAGCUGGACCACACCAAUGUCGAGGGCCGCUGAAGCAUGUGCUGGGCUUGUUGUCAGAGGCUGCCCAGCCCUGCCUUUGCCAGCGGCUGCUGACAGUUCUCAUGCAGGAGCAGACCCAGUGCCUCCAAUCCAAACCAUGCAGAGAAUUCUUAAUCAUGCCCCGCAAAAACUAAACUCCCCUCUGCCCUGCUGAAGCCUGUCCAUACAGGCCUUUGUGGGUGUGUGUGUGUUCUUUCAACAGUGACUUACUAAGCAACUGCCACACAUGUGAAAAAAGAGCUCUCUAGUGGCAUUUGUCAGGGAUGGGGCGCGUCAGCAGUUCUGCAGAACGUCUGUUCAGAACUUCACAAAAGUCAGGCAGCAGGUUUAGAGAAAACACUGUGUUAUCGGCACUCUGUUCUGGUUUUAAAAUUUGUGGAAACCUGCAAGUGAAUGGGGUGGGAAGAGGAGAUAGAACCUUCUUUUCUGAAACGGAGUCUCCCCAGAGCCAGAGUUCUGUGUUUUGAGGGGAAGGCAGAGGAGAAAGGAUGAUAGAGGCAUAGAGAAACGCUCACCACUCACUACUUGGCUCUCCUGUCCCUCUGUUUCUGACCUUGCAGGUGAGACAGGGUCACCCUCGGGGUCCCUCCAAUCCGAGUUCAGGUGGGGGAUUUGGUUUUUGCUGGUCCCUCCUCAAACAUCAUUUCUGUUUCCAGUUCUCCAUCCAAAGCAACAGGGCAGGAACAUCAGAUACCAGGCUUCACCACCUGUCUUCCCUCUCGCUCCUUUAUUUCCCUCAAUAAUGAGCAGGCUUGGAGUUCCUGUCGUGGCACAGUGAUUAACGAAUCCGAUUAGGAGCCAUGAGGUUGCGGGUUUGGUCCCUGGCCUCGCUCAGUAGGUUAAGGAUCCAGUGUUGCCGUGAGCUGCAGUGUAGGCUGCAGAUGCGGCUUGGAUCCCACGUUGCUAUGGCUGUGGUGUAGGCCGGUGGCUGCAGCUCCAAUUCAACCCCUAGCCUGGGAACCUCCAUAUGCCGUGGGAGCGGCCCCA
rnacentral:lncRNA from 1 species